AGCUUCAACAUCCCCGUCGGUCGGGUUCGCCAUGGCGAAUAGUGGAUCGACUGGAGCC
rnacentral:sRNA from 1 species